UGCUCAGGGGGUCAGUGGGGC
rnacentral:miRNA from 1 species